rnacentral:lncRNA from 10 species
CACAAACCACUCUGGGUUUCUUUUCAUGACAUUACUUUAAAACAUGUCUGUCUCCCACAAAAUCUCAAACUUCUUGAUAGCAACAAUCACCUCUUUUUAUCUUUCUAUCUCCAGAAUCUAGCAGAGUGCUUGGCUCAUGACAGAUGUUCAAUAAAAAUGUUCACUGAAGUAAACUGAAACACCCUUCUCAAGUUUGGGGUAUGAAUUAGUAUUAAAAUAGGCCCCAAAAAGCAGGUGCCUAGAAAGAAAAUAGAAAGAAAGCACAGGCCUUGAUUAUCCACCCAUGGGGUAAUUACUUCUAAAUAAUUCAGAUUGAAGCAGAGUUGUUCCUGAAAGAUGCCAAAACAACUGGUCAGUUCAUUGGAAAAGUCAGCCAGUUGGCAUCAUGGAGAUCAAAACACUCGGCGAGUCAUUUCACAGGACUUGUGACUUUCCAGCAGGUGUCUAUGCAGGCUGUGAUGGAAGAAGUUACUGACCACUCUUUGUUUAUUUCUACUUUCUCUUCCUCCUACCCUCUCACAUCCCUCACAGUUUAUGCUGGUUUUUAAACACAUACUUGAAAAUAUAAACAUUGAAAAACAUCCAUAUAUGAGCAGGCUUCUCAAAAUGCCUAGAGAACAAAUAUUGUCCACAUGGAAAAUCCCACAUAUGAAAAGGCAAGUUUAACCACGUUGCUCUAAAGCACUAGCCCCUUUCAGGUUUCGGACACGUGGCCUCUCUGGCUGAAUGGACAGAAAGUCUGAAUGUGUAAGAGCAGCUCAAAACAACAACCACCCAAACAAGACAGCCAUUCUCGCUCCUCUCAGACCACUGCUCCGAGAGGCUUGCUCUCCGACGGGUCCUACAUGCUAAAUAACUCCUAUUCUUAGUUCACGUUGACUUGGUGGCUCGAGCCAGGCGACUUCUUGGCAGAUACUGCAUCUUCAGCCAGGAGAAGUUGGCUUAGUACAAAAGGGCUUUUGAAGCGGAAACUACAAGAAGAUGCAUCUGUCUUAACAAAAAAUAAUAAACCAAGAAAAUAAAAGAUAUGGGAUCCUAGAAAUAAAAGGUGCAACACAAGAGAGAGAUAAAGAAAAACAUUGACAGCCUCUCUAUGAAGAAAGACCCAAAGUAACAACUUUGCAACAGCUCUAGGGAAUAAUUUGUUCAGAUAAGAGUAACUCAGGAGACUCCAAGAGCGAUUUUCGAGAAGAUUAAAUCUAUAGAAUACCUAAUAUGUUUGCACUUGUAAAGAAGAGUUUUAUACUACUUGGAGAGAAUUUAGCAGUUCAUCUAUCAGUAUCAUUUGCAUAGAUAUAAUGUUCGCUAAAUAUUUCUAUAGCCUAAGGAAGAUGGUGAAUGAGAAGUGUGCUUAUGUGUGGCAAGGAAGAAGGGGAUUUACCAAGUGGGAAGUCCAUGGUCAAAUGCUUAAGACUUAGUAAGGCAUUUACCAAGUGGGAAGUCAAUGGGCAAAUGCUUAAGACGUAGUAAUCAGAAUGCAAAUACAUAAGUACAUGUAGAGGCAAAACAUAGCAUUGUAGUUAUGUGCGCAGAUGCUGGAGUGAGACUCUCUGGGUUCAAAUCCCAGCCCUACCAAUUACUAGUCAUGUGACUUUGGGCAAAUUGUUGACCUAUUUGAAACUCAGUUUUCUCGUAUGAAAACUGUGAUUAUAAUUACUCAUCUCAUAAGAUUUUUAUAUGAACUAACUUUCUAAAAUACUUAGAAUAGUACUUGUCACAAAGCCAGCAGUAUAAAAGUGUUGACCAUUAAAAUAAUGUCAUUAGAAACAUGGAGAUAAAUAUUAAAAGAAUAAGCUAAAACAGAAAUUGGUUGUGACAGGAGGAGAAUGAUGCACUGGGAAUAUUAUUGCUUUUCAUAACUUGGAGAAAUUUGAUUUUUUAAAGUUUGUGUUCACAUAUAAUUAAAAAAAUAGAAAACUAAAUUUUAAGUGACAAGAAUUAUAUUCUUCCAUUUAGUCAGGUGCUGGAUAAAGUAGCUUUUUUUUAGGUGUCUGCAAAUAUUAUGACAAUUAGGACAAGAAAAGUGCAUGCUAUUUUCAACCAGUUUGUAUUAAUGAUGAUCCUUAGAUGUAAGCAACAGAAGUUGAUGAAGCUGAUUUAAAUACAAUGGUUUAGUUGAAAAGAUGUUGGGGAGAUCACAGAAUGAAUUGCAAUGCUGGAGAACCAGUUAUGAAAACAUACAAGCAUGAAGGGAGGCUGCAUAGCCAUAACUAUGUCCUGAAUCACACCAAAUACCAUCAGGUGAGGAUUUCACAUCUAUCGCCAUUGGACUCGCCAUACCGUAAUUUAUACAUUUACUGACCUGGCCGCCCCAACUCUUCCUGGAAAUCAGAUGCUGCUGCCACCACAGCCAUAUCAGAAAGAAGCCUCCUCUCGUGUUGUUUUAUGUCACUAGUCCCACUUCAAGUCAUAGCCAAGUGCAUAAAUUGAUCAGGGAGGCUGGGAAGACAAACUACUUGGUGUAUAUAUAAUGUCUGUGGUAGGAGGCCAACUCUACCGCCGUCCCAGAGCCAUAAGAUAGGUAAUUUUCCAAUUACAGACUAGAUGGAAUAGACUAUAUUCUUAUAUUAAUUGCUUCUUCAUAGAAGUACAUUUAUUUACCAUCAUUGAUUCAAGUUAGCAAUAUGACUAACUUUGGCCAAUUAAAUAUAAGUAACAGUCAUUCUUCACUUCAGGACAGAAAUACUAAGAACCAGGAUAUGGUUCUCCCAAUCUACUAUUCCCUGCCAGGCAAAUCUGAAGGCAUGUUGAAAGGAUGCUUCUGUCAGCCUGAGUCCCUAAAUGACUAUGAUAAGCAAAGCUUCCUUGCCAACUUGUGAUGGACAUGUAUUAUGAGCAAGAAAUAAAUGUGAUUGUUUAAAGCCACA